rnacentral:rRNA from 1 species
GAUGAACGCUGACAGAAUGCUUAACACAUGCAAGUCUACUUGAAUUUGGGUUUUUUAACUUAGAUUUGGGUGGCGGACGGGUGAGUAACGCGUAAAGAACUUGCCUCACAGUUAGGGACAACAUUUGGAAACGAAUGCUAAUACCUGAUAUUAUGAAUAUAUGGCAUCAUAUAAUUAUGAAAGCUAUAAGCGCUGUGAGAGAGCUUUGCGUCCCAUUAGCUAGUUGGAGAGGUAACGGCUCACCAAGGCGAUGAUGGGUAGCCGGCCUGAGAGGGUGAACGGCCACAAGGGGACGGAGACACGGCCCUUACUCCUACGGGAGGCAGCAGUGGGGAAUAUUGGACAAUGGACCAAGAGUCUGAUCCAGCAAUUCUGUGUGCACGAUGACGUUUUUCGGAAUGUAAAGUGCUUUCAGUUGGGAAGAAAAAAAUGACGGUACCAACAGAAGAAGAGACGGCUAAAUACGUG